rnacentral:snRNA from 1 species
UUCCAGAGCCACUGCUGAGUAGUAGA